rnacentral:lncRNA from 1 species
UUCUUGGGUUUUGUUAAGGGUUGGUCCCCAGUUGUUGUGCGAGCUAUCUGAUACUUUUUGUUGUGUUUCAGAAUGGUGAUGACCAGGCGCUUUGUGAUUGGAUCCGUGACUGGAUCUGGGUCUGGAUCAGGAGAGGGCGGGCAGGGGGAGCUGACAGCACCCGAAACGAUCGGCCAAAUGAGGCUAGAUGAGAUCGAUGAUAGUAUUCGAGCAAUCAUGCAUGACAAGGUUGAUGCGUUGUUCUGGGCCGAAUUGCCGGAAAUGUUUGGGUCGAUAAAGACCGCCAUGUUGGAGAAUUUCGAUGAGCGUUAUGCAGCCCUCGCAGAGACAGCCGCCACAGUAGCUGCAUAGGCUGUAUCUACGGCAGGGGGAGGAGUAGGUAGGGGUUUUCAGUACCGGGACUUCGACAACACAAAGCCUCUACUUUUGAUGGGACACAGGAUCCCAUCAAGGCUAUGAGAUGGAUUUCAGAUGUGGAAGGGUAUUUCUUCACCUGCUCGUGUCCUACUGACCAAAAGGUCAGGUAUGCUCUGAACCUGCUUAGGUCCGGAGCCAAGGACUGGUGGAGACUUGCGAUGGGGACUUACACUGAUGAUUAGAGAGUUGCUGUUACUUGGGAGCAGUUCAGGGAUAUGUUACGCGCUCGUUACAUUUCGAGGGUUGAACGGGAAUGUUUGGCACAUGAGUUUUUGAGCUUGAGGCAGGAUGGAGAGUCAGUGACGGAGAUCACCCGUAUGUUUACUGAGCGGGCAAUGUUCUGCCUAGAGUUUGCUUCUGAUCAGUCUCAGAUGACCCGUUAUCUAAGUAUGCUCAAGACUGAUAUCCGACAGUUUGGAUCUACCCAGCGAUGUGAUACUCUUCUGGAGUUGCAGGAGGCCGCCAGACGGCGGGAGUUAGAGAUUGAGCUGAAGCUAAGGGAACAGCGGUCAGCCCCGGUACUUUCACAGUCGGCGCCGAAGUGGCCUAAGACCAUCGAUGCUAGGACCGGGGGUCAACAGGGCCGCACUUGUGGGAAGUGUGGCAAGGGACAUUCUGGUGUAUGUCGGGCUAGUAGUGGGUGCCACAAGUGUGGCAAGGAGGGGCAUUACGCGAAGGAUUGUCGCCAGACUGCCCCAGUCAAGGGUAUGAGGUUAUGUUAUCACUACAACCAGGUCGGCCACAUGAGCGCCAACAGUCCACUACUUACAGCUAAGCCGGUGCAGGCUGCAGCACCAGCUACUUUAAGGAUCACAGAUGGGAGACCAGUCAGGAAAGAGCCUCUGAAGGCUCAGGUUCGUGCUUUCCAGCUUACGCCGGAGGAGGCCAGAGCAGCACCAGAUGUGGUUGCUGGUAUGUUUCUAUCCUAAUCUAUUUUUAUUUAUCUGUUAUAUGCUUAUCUGUUGUACCUGUGAUUAGGUACGUUUUUGGUAAACUCCUUGCCUUCUUUGGUCUUAUUUGAAUCGUGGGCGAGUCGAUGCUUCGUGUCUUAGUCUUUUAGUAGGGAGUUCAGUAUGCCUAUGGGCGAAUUGGAGUGUCUGUUGCGAUUAUCUAUCACCAACAAACAAGGGGUGUCUGCUUCUUCAGUUUAUUGAGGAUGCAAAUUGUAGAUUUUCGGGGUGUCUUUUCCGAUAGACUUGAUUCUGAUUCGUAUGGGGAGGUGUGCGUGCUUGUGGGCAUGGAUUGGAUCAGUAAGUUCGGUGUUAUGAUUGAUAGCGAGGGCCAGCGAGUGGUAGUUCAAACCCCAAGUGGGGUAGAACUGGUUAUAUAUGGUGAGGGCACCAGAGUAGGCUCAGGUUUUUGUUCAGCUGCCAGGGCUCAGCAGUACAUUCAGCCUGGGGGUAUGAGUUAUCUAGCGUACGUGGUAGAUACGCGAGUCAGGAACCAGAAUUCGGUCUCCGAUGUACCAGUGGUCAGGGAGUUCGCAGAUGUGUUUCUGGAGGAGUUGCUAGGGAUACCUCCAGAGAGGCAGGUCGAGUUCAGGAUCGACCUGGUGCCUGGUGUGGCCCCUANCGUUGUUCUGGGCCGAAUUGCCGGAAAUGUUUGGGUCGAUAAAGACCGCCAUGUUGGAGAAUUUCGAUGAGCGUUAUGCAGCCCUCACAAAGACAGCCGCCACAGUAGCUGCAUAGGCUGUAUCUACGGCAGGGGGAGGAGUAGGUAGGGGUUUUCAGUACCGGGACUUCGACAACACAAAGCCUCUACUUUUGAUGGGACACAGGAUCCCAUCAAGGCUAUGAGAUGG